AGAUUGCUCCCAGCUACUAAGCAGUAGUAUUGCUCUGCCUAGUGGUGUUUACACCCUUACCACUCCACUCACUCACGCCAAGGAACAGGUGUACUGUGACAUGGGGACGGGCGGAGGAGGAUGGACGAUAUUUCAAAGACGUUUUGACGGAAGUGUUGAUUUUCACAGAAACUUUAGGGAUUAUGAAUAUGGUUUCGGCGAUGAUGUUGGUGAACAUUGGCUAGGACUUAAAUACAUCUACGAGAUAACAUUGAACGGUUAUUUUCAACUUCGCGUAAACGCAACGACGGAAGAAAGGCUUAUGAUGUAUAUGGCAAUUUCAGACUACAACCCGGACCUCGCUAUACACUAAAUCUUGGGGCACAAUUAAAGUCGCAUGGCGUUGAACCCUCCAGUGAUACAUUCUUUACAACCUCCUCACGUACACCCGUUGGAAGUGCCUUCACCCGGAAUCAGUAAAACGACGUCAAUGAUUUACGACGGGUUCCCAGGGCUCAAGUCAAGCACGAUCAUGUUUAAAGAGAUCUUCAAGAAAUAAUAAUGCGGGGACAAGAAGCAGUGCUUUCAAUCAUAUGGAAGGAACGGGAAUUUCACUUAAAAUCUUUGAUUUAUUGCCUAUGUCUUUCCUUGUAGUAUUGAUAUACAAAUUAAACGACAAGACGCAUUGGUGUAAGAAAUUUAUUACAUUAUU